UCUCCUGUGUCUUUGAAGAGAGCAGGAUUGCAGCAGCUCUGCGCGCCCGUGCUCUUCCCUCCUCCUCCCCCACCCCCUCCCGUCGCUGCCGUGUAAGGACUGAGCAGCAGAGAAGCCGAAUUCAGGAGCCGACGGCUAUCUGCACCAGCGCGAGCUCAGGAGCGUAGCCAUGCACUCGAUGCGACAACGCUCCUGCGACAUCUUUGCCUCGACUGUGUCGGCCCUACUCGUCACGGCAGUUCUAACGGCCACCUCGACGAUUUUGCGAGACCUGGUGUUGCGCCCGCGUCCGCUCGUCUCGGACGUGCGUGUGUCGAGCUUCUCGCCACUGUACCACGUGCGCAGCCCUACACUGCUGUCUCCGGAGAUUCCUGAUGCAGCCAUCUACUAUCGCCCCGACACCGGCAGCGAUGGCCACAGAACCGCGGCAAAGCAGCUUCCGUCGAAUAUUGAGAUUGUGGACACGGUGGAUCGGCCUGAGGACAGCGAGGAAGAUCGCCAGCGCAAGAUAUGGCAGCGGCAGCGCUUACCGAAAGGCUUCAAACUCGGCAUGCGCACCAUCGAUCGCGUCGUGCUGUACCUUUCUGGCUCGGUGGACUUCUCUCCCUGUUGGGACUGGAAUACGAAAGCCAUCUACGUCUCCUUUAUUGCGCGCUUUCCGUCGAAGUCAGCGUCUCAGAACGACGUCGUCCUGCUCGAUGCGGUACUGCGCCCGGUGUCGCUGCCAGCGAAGAUUGCGCGGUUGGCGAAGUUGCGCCGCCAAGAGCGGCGAGCCGCGCUACCGGGAAGCGGCAACGAGAGAGCAACGGUGGCGGCCGGGGCCUCUCCCGCCGCGACGCAGAUGUUGACGGACGAAGAGCGGCAGCAGCUCGCUGCCUUCGAGCAGGCUCUGCGCAAUGUCGAACACGAUCACCCCUCCGUGUAUAUUGACCACAUCGACAAGCGGCUCGUGUUGAACGACUCAUUCAAGUACUUUGUGGACGCCUUUGACGACACCUCUCUCGGAGGCAACACGGUUGAGGUGGUGCUGCGCUACCAGGUGAUGAGCUACUCCGGCUGGGCGCCCGUGCGGGAGGAUGUUCUUGGGCACCAGGUAAAAGUAAAGAUGCCAGCGAAUGCUGUGCUGUGGAAGGCGCAACAGCGGUGAUGAGAGACGGCACGAGUGUUCAUGACUGCCUGUCUAUGUGUGUGUGUGUGUGUAUGCGCGCGCGUGUGCGGGGUGAGAGAUGGGCCGAGAAGCGGGCGCCAAAGUGGCUGUGAUGCAUUAGCCGACGUGCCACUGUCACUUGGCCCUCAUUUUCUGUUGUUGUCUGCGUUGCUGUCCGCGCGUACGCAUGCGUGUAUGGGUAGGCAGCACACUGUGAUGUUUCAGUUCUUCAUCUCACCGUCGGCAGCAC
rnacentral:misc_RNA from 1 species